UAAUAAUAGAAGAUGCUAUAAGAAGUUUAUUAUAUCAAGAUUUAUUAUUUAGUUUUUCAGUCUGAAGAUAUUUCAGUUUUUGAAAGUAUUUUUAAUACUGUGACAAACACACGGCGUGUGGGGUUAAGGCGAAUAAACGUACCUGUGUGAUGUAUUAUCAGGAUCACCUUUCCUCCUAUGUAACCCUAACUCUUGUCUGUUAUAACAACGUUUUUCAAAACUGAAUAUCUUGAGAUUUUCAGUACAUAUGUCACAGUAAAAUAAUUCGUGCUCCCUCCGCAUGUGGUCUUUGAGCUGUUGAAACGUUUUGAAAGGCCAUUUCCUUUCAUUGUCUUCACAUAUCGAACAACGGUGCUCUAGCAGUUUAUAAUAAGCCUUUUGAAUAUCCGAAGUACAAAAGAUGAUGCCAGCUCUACGAUCUUGUAGGUUCGAUCGCUCAAACUUUGGUAACAACACUGAGAAUGCUUCGAUUGUUUUUGUAAAUAAUACCUGCAAUAUUAAAAUAAAACUAUUCUAUAAUAGUAGAAAA